rnacentral:lncRNA from 1 species
GGUCGUUGUUUCGUGGUCAUUUUCAGGAAACUCACUACCUCUAGGACAAAGGAUAUUGCUUAUUAAGAAAUCCUGGCCAAGGCUAAAGUGCUUUGGUUUGCAUGUGCAAGGCCCCGGGCUUGGUCUCCAGCAAACACCUCCAUACCACACACCUACGGUCACACCUAGGUCAGACGUGCUGAUAGCACACCUAUAAUCCCUGCACUCAGUGAACUGAGACAGCAGAGGGCGCUCAUGAGUUCAAGACCAGCUUGAGCUUAAGAGACUGGAGUACGGUGUAUGGGGUGGGUACCUCAUAAGAGGUGAAUCUCACAAAAUAUCUUUGUAGCUCUUCCUGAAUACGUAAAUGCCUUACUGCAUACAACUAUCAAGUCGACCCGCUUCUGUUUUCAGGCAGGGUCUCACUAUGUAGCCCUGGAACUUGCUGUGUAGACCGGGAUGAUCUCAAACUCACAAAAUCCACCUGCCUCUGCCUUAUGAGUUCUGGGAGUAAAGGCCUGUGCCGCCACACCAGGCAAAGCUUUUUUCCCCAACAAACAGUGUCUCCUGAGCACUGCUUUGUGCACAUUUUAAUAUGCCGAAACUUCAUUGCUAUCCUAUUCUGCUCUCUUCUAUUUAAAACGUUGUCCAAUUUUGAGAUUUCUGGUUGGCAAUUUAUGAAUAUGCUACUUAGUGUCCACCUCAGCUCUGGUCUUCUGUCACCAACUUCACAGUAGAAUAUAAUGCAUGAUCUCACUUGCUUUGGCUGGCCAGGUCUGUUUAUACACUAGGACUGCUGUCUCAGUAAUGCUGUGUCCCGGAAGGGCUUGCACGGCUCUGGCUGGGGGAAGCAGCCUCUGCCCAUUGGCACAUGGUGGUCACUGGGAUCUCCUGCAUUGUGGCUGAUCCUCACCUGUCAUCUCUAGUGCUCAUGGGAGGUGCAAGCCUCCAGCUUACUCUGAACUCCUCAGUCCUCCCUAUCUGUAGCUGACCCAUAAGACGCCCCAGCUGGACCUGGCCACACAGCCUCAGCCUCUGCCUCCGUCCCAAUACAGUAGCUGCUAGGACACCUUCCGUUACCUGCAUCAGUCCGUGGGUGGGACGCUCACAUGUUCUGCAGAGUCAGAUGGGUCCCGGGAAGUCUUGGCAGCUUUGCAGUGUGGUUGGCAUGGAAACACCAAGACAUGGUAUACACUGAUAUGUUUGUUUUGGUUUGCAUUCUUUUUUAAUGCUGUUCAGCCUCUCUGAACCUGCUCUCUUUUAGGUAAAACAUUUUUAGUAUUAAAUAUCUCACUGU